rnacentral:rRNA from 1 species
GGCGGACGGGUGAGUAACACGUAUGCAACCUGCCUUCAACCGGAGGAUAACCCGUUGAAAGACGGACUAAUACUCCAUAACACAGGGGUCCCGCAUGGGGAUAUUUGUUAAAGAUUAAUCGGUUGAAGAUGGGCAUGCGUUCCAUUAGCUUGUUGGCGGGGUAACGGCCCACCAAGGCAACGAUGGAUAGGGGAACUGUGAGGUUUAUCCCCCACACUGGAACUGAGACACGGUCCAGACUCCUACGGGAGGCAGCAGUGAGGAAUAUUGGUCAAUGGAGGCAACUCUGAACCAGCCAAGUCGCGUGAAGGAUGAAGGUCUUAUGGAUUGUAAACUUCUUUUGCAAGGGAAUAAAGUGGGGGACGUGUCCUCCUUUGCAUGUACCUUGCGAAUAAGGAUCGGCUAACUCCGUGCCAGCAGCCGCGGUAAU